AGUGAACGCUGGCGGUAGGCCUAACACAUGCAAGUCGAACGGCAGCACAGUAAGAGCUUGCUCUUACGGGUGGCGAGUGGCGGACGGGUGAGGUAUACAUCGGAAUCUACUUUUUCGUGGGGGAUAACGUAGGGAAACUUACGCUAAUACCGCAUACGACCUACGGGUGAAAGCAGUGGAUCUUCGGACCUUGCGCGAUUGAAUGAGCCGAUGUCGGAUUAGCUAGUUGGCGGGGUAAAGGCCCACCAAGGCGACGAUCCGUAGCUGGUCUGAGAGGAUGAUCAGCCACACUGGAACUGAGACACGGUCCAGACUCCUACGGGAGGCAGCAGUGGGGAAUAUUGGGCAAUGGGCGGAAGCCUGAUCCAGCCAUACCGCGUGGGUGAAGAAGGCCUUCGGGUUGUAAAGCCCUUUUGUUGGGAAAGAAAAGCAGCAGGUUAAGACCCCGCUGUUCUGACGGUACCCAAAGAAUAAGCACCGGCUAACUUCGUG
rnacentral:rRNA from 1 species